AGUGAACGCUGGCGGCGUGCUUAACACAUGCAAGUCGAACGAGAACGGGUUAUAGCUUGCUAUAAUUGUCAGCUAAGUGGCGCACGGGUGAGUAAUGUAUAGGUAAUAUGCCUCUUACUAAGGGAUAACAAAUGGAAACGUUUGCUAAUACCUUAUACUCCUUAUUAACAUAAGUUAAUAAGGGAAAGAUUUAUUGGUAAGAGAUUAGCCUGUAUUGUAUCAGUUAGUUGGUGGGGUAACGGCUUACCAAGACUAUGACACAUAACUGGUUUGAGAGGAUGAUCCGUCACACUGGAACUUAGACAAGGUCCCGACUCCUAAGGGAGGCAGCAGUGGGGAAUAUUGCACAAUGGACGAAAGUCUGAUGCAGCAACGCCGCGUGGAGGAUGAAACAUUUCGGUGCGUAAACUCCUUUUUUAUGAGAAGAUAAUGACGGUAUUAUAAGAAUAAACACCGGCUAACUCCGUGCCAGCAGCCGCCGUAA
rnacentral:rRNA from 1 species